UUUACACACCGCCCGUCACACCAUGGAAGUUAGCCACGCCCGAAGUCGUUACUCCAACCCUUGUGGAGGAGGACGCCGAAGGUGGGGCUGAUGACUGGGGUGAAGUCGUAACAAGGUAGCCGUACCGGAAGGUGCGGCUGGAUCACCUCCUAACAGGGAGACAAUUGAGAUAUUGAUGUCUGAGCCAUUCGAUGCUUAGGCCAAUAUCCUGUCAUCUCGAAGGUCGAUCGGUACCUCAAUGAAAUGAAUUCUGGAAGGUCUAACAAUUCUCAACGCAUUUGUUUCACAGCAAAUAUUUGAGAAUCAAUGACCAACCGUAAAGAAUACAUUUUUUUCAGUUUCUCAACUUCUGUCUAGGUCACCCCAUCUGUCUCACCCCAAUUGUUGUUGUCAUUAGUCUUGAUGGCAGACACUGAGGGAGGACGCUCCUGGGCCAUUAGCUCAGGUGGUUAGAGCGCACCCCUGAUAAGGGUGAGGUCCCUGGUUCAAGUCCAGGAUGGCCCAUUCGUGUUUGGGGGUUUAGCUCAGUUGGUAGAGCGCCUGCUUUGCAAGCAGGAUGUCAGCGGUUCGAGUCCGCUAACCUCCAUCAACAGCCCAUGUAGCAACCCUCGAGACCACAGGAGCGGAUCCUGUUGGAUGACCUGGACGGGAAUCCCAAGCAAGGGUGACCCUUUUGACUGAGGACGAGUUCGGCAUCUUUUCAUUCCCGUUGGGUUGAAAGGACGCUGGAUUCACCAGAUCUUUACAUCACAGAUGUAAAGAUCUGGCGAUUCAGCAAGAACCUUGACAACUGCAUAGGUGAGUCUGGAAAGAAAGCAUCUCAUGGAUGUCCAAGAGCGAACGCUCUUGGCAAAUUCUUGAGUUUAGAGCCAAGACUCCAGAAGGAAAAACUCUAGUUUUUUUGCAUCUUUAUGAGCCAUGAACUGAUCAAGGCAUGAAUUAAAUUUCAUGUCAUGAGUGUUGCAUGUGUUUGAGAAGAUGAGUUUAAAAAGACGAAGGGUUUGGAGAUCUGGAACAAAAUGGUCAAGCUACAAAGGGCUCACGGUGGAUACCUAGGCACACAGAGA
rnacentral:misc_RNA from 1 species